CCUACGGGAGGCAGCAGUGGGGAAUAUUGGGCAAUGGGCGCAAGCCUGACCCAGCAACGCCGCGUGAAGGAAGAAGGCUUUCGGGUUGUAAACUUCUUUUAUCAGGGACGAAGCAAGUGACGGUACCUGAUGAAUAAGCAACGGCUAACUACGUGCCAGCAGCCGCGGUAAUACGUAGUUGGCAAGCGUUAUCCGGAUUUACUGGGUGUAACGGGCGGGUAGGCGGGAGUGCAAGUCAGAUGUGAAAACUAUGGGCUCAACCCAUAGCCUGCAUUUGAAACUGUACUUCUUGAGUGCUGGAGAGGCAAUCGGAAUUCCGUGGGUAUCGGUGAAAUGCGGAGAUAUACGGAGGAACACCAGUGGCGAAGGCGGAUUGCUGGACAGUAACUGACGCUGAUGCGCGAAAGCGUGGGGAGCAAACAGGAUUAGAUACCCCGGUAGUC
rnacentral:rRNA from 1 species